rnacentral:lncRNA from 1 species
UGGAAAUGAGGCAAUAUCUACGAUACCUGGAUUUAAUCAGAUAUGUUUUGAGUUCAACUUGCUAAAACACCCAACCCUAAUACUCUGAUGAAUGAUUGGGUUAUGAUCUUUCACACCUGAAACUGACCAAACAUAAAUAGAAACAAAUCCAAUAAAGAUCCCAGGUGGUUGAGAAGAUGGAUUAGGAGGCCUAUAUUCUUUUGCAAUAUUCUAGGCCCAUAUAUAUCAACCCCAACAUAGAGAUUUGUAUUCAAGUAAAGAAGGGUGUAGAUGCUUCAAAGCGAAAUUCUAUACACUACUACAUUUUACUAUUUGCCUAACG